GGCUUUGUAGUUCAACAGGAUAGAAUUUUAGAUUGCGGAUCUAAAGAUGAAAGUUCAAAUCUUUCCAAAGCCA
rnacentral:tRNA from 2 species